rnacentral:antisense_RNA from 1 species
GGGUGCUCUUGGCUGUCUGUCAGGAGCAUAACAACUGUCACAGGUUUUCUGUGACUGGCAGAUAGACAAAAGCCCCGAAAGUUAUUUUACUAACUAACGAGGCUCUAUCGUGAAACUGAACACUUCUGAUGUUAGCCUCUAUUUAACUAAGAGGCAAGUUGUAUGCUACGAAA